rnacentral:lncRNA from 1 species
GCGCUUUCGGCGCCAUUUUCGAGUGAUGCCUGAUCUCAUCAAUCUAGCGGGAGAGACAGGAUAACCUGUCCGAGAGUAUAGCGCCACUAUGACUCCGCCGGAAAAAUUACUUUAAAAAUCGCCAAAAAUUACUUGGAGCAAAGGGCAGUCGGCGGAGCUUCGCCAAGGCUGGCGCAGUCGGUUUUGACCUGUAGCAGAGAACCAAUUCUGGAGAACAGCCUCACUUCUUUGAUUGAAUACUUACAUAAUGCAUUGGAACAUGACAUGAGAUUAAGGUUUAAUAAUGAUAGAAUGAAGACCACAAUAAAAGAGACCUCUACUUAGCUCAGCAAUUCUUACCUUGUGUAAAUUUUGAUACCACCAUUGCCGCCUUCCCCUCAAAAAAGGUGAGAACUGACUAAACUACUGGUACUUAGACCAUGUGGAGAAGGAACUGAAAAUGGAAACAGAAACACGUCUGUACAGAGCAGAGUGUCAGAUAAUAGCUCAUUUUAGUAGAGGGCAAUAAAUGCCACAUGAGAUGAUCACCUCAGCAGAAAACUGUAAGUAACUGGGGACUUACAGGAGAAUUGAACAGUUGUUUCUGCUGACUCAGUAAAAAGUCUUCAUUUUAUAAUUUGU